GUCCAGAUGGCUCAGUGUUCAGAGCAUCUGCCUAGUAAGCAGGAGUUCUGGGUUUGAAUCCCAGUCUGGCACA